AGAAUUUGAUCGUGGUUCAGGGUAAACGCUGGCGGUGUGCCUAAGGCAUGCAAGUCGAACGGUAAUCUUCGGAUUACAGUGGCGAACGGGUGAGUAACGCGUACGAAUCUACUCCCAAGAGGAGCAUAACUUUGAGAAAUCAAAGGUAAUUCUCCAUAGUCUCGCAAGAGUAAAGGAUGUAACUAUCCGCUUAGGAAAGAGCGUGCGUUCUAUCAGCUUGUUGGUAGGGUAACGGCCUACCAAGGCUAUGACGGAUAUCGGCUCUGAGAGGAGGGACCGACACAAUGGGACUGAGACACGGCCCAUACUCCUACGGGAGGCAGCAGCUAGGAAUAUUGCGCAAUGGACGAAAGUCUGACGCAGCGACACCGCGUGAGGGAUGACGGCCUUCGGGCUGUAAACCUCUUUUAGCCCCCAUAUCGGGGGCAGAAUAAGCAACUACUAACUACGUGCCAGCAGUCGCGGUAAUACGUAGGUUGCAAGCGUUACCCGGAUUUACUGGGCGUAAAGCGUCUGUAGGUGGUCUGAAAAGUUUCGUUUUAAAUACCCCGGCUCAACUGGGGAAAGGGGCGAAAUACUAUUAGACUAGAGUCAUAUCGGGGCUACUGGAAUUGAUGGUGUAGGGGUGAAAUCCGUGGAUACCAUCAAGAACACCAAGAGCGAAGGCAGGUAGCUAGGUAUGUACUGACACUGAGAGACUAAAGCUAGGGUAGCAAACUGGAUUAGAGACCCAGGUAGUCCUAGCCCUAAACGAUGCUCGCUAGCCUUAUGAAUUUAUUUAUGAGGCGCAAGCUAACGCGUUAAGCGAGCCGCCUGGGGAGUAUAGCCGCAAGGUUGAAACUCAAACGAAUUGGCGGGGAGGCGCACAACCAGUGGAGCGUGUGGUUUAAUUCGACACGAAGCGCUGUACCUUACCUGGGCUUGACAUGUACCUGCAAAUCCAUCGAAAGGUGGACUUCUUCGAGAGUGGUACACAGCUGUUGCAUGGCUGUCGUCAGUUCGUGACGUGAGUUGUUCCCUUAAGUGGGGUAACGAACGCAACCCAUGUCUCGUGUUACUAUGUCACGAGAGACUGCCCAGCAUUAUUUUGUUGGGAGGAAGGAAUGGAAGACGUCAAGUCAGCAUGAUGCUUAUGUCCAGGGCUACACACAUCCUACAAUGGGCUGUACAGAGGGUUGCCAAACCGCGAGGUGGAGCUAAUCCCCCAAAACAGUCCUCAGUUGGGAUUGCAGGCUGCAAUUCGCCUGCAUGAACUUGGAAUUGGUAGUAAUCGCAGAUCAGCAGGCUGCGGUGAAUACGUUCUCGCCUCUUGCACACACUGCCCGUCAAAUCAGCAAAGUCGGGGGUGCCCAACACCUCACAUAUUUUUUGUGGGACUAAGGCAAAUCCGGCGAUGAGGGUUAAGUCGUAACAAGGUA
rnacentral:rRNA from 1 species